AUUGAACGCUGGCGGCAUGCUUUACACAUGCAAGUCGAACGGCAGCGCGGGCUUCGGCCCGGCGGCGAGUGGCGAACGGGUGAGUAAUACAUCGGAACGUGCCCAGUAGUGGGGGAUAGCUCGGCGAAAGCCGGAUUAAUACCGCAUACGACCUGAGGGUGAAAGCGGGGGAUCUUCGGACCUCGCGCUAUUGGAGCGGCCGAUGGCAGACUAGCUAGUUGGUGGGGUAAAGGCCUACCAAGGCGACGAUCUGUAGCUGGUCUGAGAGGACGACCAGCCACACUGGGACUGAGACACGGCCCAGACUCCUACGGGAGGCAGCAGUGGGGAAUUUUGGACAAUGGGCGAAAGCCUGAUCCAGCAAUGCCGCGUGUGUGAUGAAGGCCUUCGGGUUGUAAAGCACUUUUGGCGGGAACGAAAAGGACUGUGCCAAUACCACGGUUCGAUGACGGUACCCGCAGAAUAAGCACCGGCUAACUACGUG
rnacentral:rRNA from 1 species